CUCUCUCUCUUUCUUCCAGUGGUGUCGGCCGCUGUGGCUGAAUCCGGCGAGCCGCGCUUCCUUCUCCUCGUCUAUUCAUCUCUCUUCCUUCACCCUUUUCAAUUUCUCACCCCAAGUUACACGCUCAAUUUCAAAGAUUGAGCUCUAGCUCCUUCCUUCAAAUCGUCGCCGAGUCUCCCCUUUUGCAGCAGAUCCGCCGCCGCGGUUCCCUUUCCGGCGAAAUCUGCAUCAAGUCGUUGGAUUACCGGCGAGGCCGCAGCCGGCAACUAGCGCUGCUCCCUUCGUCUCUGACUUCCUCUUUUUUUUUUUCCUCCCUUCCCUCUCUAUCUCUGAUCGUGCUCUCUCCUCUCAAUUUGCACGACCUCAGCCGUGCAUCCUCCUCAACAGGCUCUGCCAUGGCCGAGUCCGGUGAGGUUGGCGUCGGCGUCAGCCCUUGCCCAAAACUCUCUCAUCUUCCGUGUUUCUUCUCUGAAAUUUCAACUCCAGAUUAUACCCCCAAAUCGAACCCUAAUUCUUUCAUCAUGGACUACCACCGCUGCUGUCCUCUUCGGUGUAGACGGGCUCGAUGCCUCAUCGCGCCGCUGUUGUUAUAGUCAGAUUCCAGCGAGGCAGCAAGGGAUCGCCGCCGUCAUUCCCUCGGCUCGACUGAACAGGCUGAACUCAAGAAGAAAAUGGAGAAGUUUAAGUUGAGCUUACCUCUUGGGCUCCAGAUUGUAGCUGAAAUAAACUCUCUAUGAUUUUUGGUGCAUAAAGGAAGAAGGGAGAAUCGUAGCUGAUGAUUUAAAGGGUGGAGUUUUUGGCUGAUUAGGUGGACUUCCAUGUGAGACUUUGAGAAGUGGAGUAUGCAUAGAGUGCGGCUGAAAGACCUCCUAGUUGUACCUUAGCAUGGCUUCAAAUAUUAAAUUGUGGCUUUUGCAGGGAAAAGAGCAUGGCCUUAGCAGAGUUAAAGAAAAGGAGUGAUAUGCGUGUACUAUGCAUAUUUUAUUUCUUGACUAGCUUGUAAUUUUAUAUUAUAAUUAUUAUUGUACAUUAUUUUUUUAUUAUAGCAUAUGAAAUGAUUUUUAUAUAAA